AGCGUACACGGUGGAUGCCCUGGCAGUCAGAGGCGAUGAAGGACGUGCUAAUCUGCGAAAAGCGUCGGUAAGGUGAUAUGAACCGUUAUAACCGGCGAUGUCCGAAUGGGGAAACCCAGUGCAAUUCGUUGCACUAUCGUUAACUGAAUACAUAGGUUAACGAGGCGAACCGGGGGAACUGAAACAUCUAAGUACCCCGAGGAAAAGAAAUCAACCGAGAUUCCCCCAGUAGCGGCGAGCGAACGGGGAGCAGCCCAGAGUCUGAAUCAGCUUGUGUGUUAGUGGAACGGUCUGGAAAGUCCGACGGUACAGGGUGAUAGUCCCGUACACCAAAAUGCACAGGCUGUGAACUCGAAGAGUAGGGCGGGACACGUGGUAUCCUGUCUGAAUAUGGGGGGACCAUCCUCCAAGGCUAAAUACUCCUGACUGACCGAUAGUGAACCAGUACCGUGAGGGAAAGGCGAAAAGAACCCCGGCGAGGGGAGUGAAAAAGAACCUGAAACCGUGUACGUACAAGCAGUGGGAGCACCUUCGGGUGUGACUGCGUACCUUUUGUAUAAUGGGUCAGCGACUUAUAUUCUGUAGCAAGGUUAACCGUAUAGGGGAGCCGCAGGGAAACCGAGUCUUAACUGGGCGUUAAGUUGCAGGGUAUAGACCCGAAACCCGGUGAUCUAGCCAUGGGCAGGUUGAAGGUUGGGUAACACUAACUGGAGGACCGAACCGACUAAUGUUGAAAAAUUAGCGGAUGACUUGUGGCUGGGGGUGAAAGGCCAAUCAAACCGGGAGAUAGCUGGUUCUCCCCGAAAGCUAUUUAGGUAGCGCCUCGUGAAUUCAUCUUCGGGGGUAGAGCACUGUUUCGGCUAGGGGGUCAUCCCGACUUACCAACCCGAUGCAAACUACGAAUACCGAAGAAUGUUAUCACGGGAGACACACGGCGGGUGCUAACGUCCGUCGUGAAGAGGGAAACAACCCAGACCGCCAGCUAAGGUCCCAAAGUCAUGGUUAAGUGGGAAACGAUGUGGGAAGGCACAGACAGCCAGGAUGUUGGCUUAGAAGCAGCCAUCAUUUAAAGAAAGCGUAAUAGCUCACUGGUCGAGUCGGCCUGCGCGGAAGAUGUAACGGGGCUAAACCAUGCACCGAAGCUGCGGCAGCGACACUAUGUGUUGUUGGGUAGGGGAGCGUUCUGUAAGCCUGCGAAGGUGUGCUGUGAGGCAUGCUGGAGGUAUCAGAAGUGCGAAUGCUGACAUAAGUAACGAUAAAGCGGGUGAAAAGCCCGCUCGCCGGAAGACCAAGGGUUCCUGUCCAACGUUAAUCGGGGCAGGGUGAGUCGACCCCUAAGGCGAGGCCGAAAGGCGUAGUCGAUGGGAAACAGGUUAAUAUUCCUGUACUUGGUGUUACUGCGAAGGGGGGACGGAGAAGGCUAUGUUAGCCGGGCGACGGUUGUCCCGGUUUAAGCAUGUAGGCUGGUUAUCCAGGCAAAUCCGGAUAAUCAAGGCUGAGGUGUGAUGACGAGGCACUACGGUGCUGAAGUAACAAAUGCCCUGCUUCCAGGAAAAGCCUCUAAGCAUCAGGUAACAUCAAAUCGUACCCCAAACCGACACAGGUGGUCAGGUAGAGAAUACCAAGGCGCUUGAGAGAACUCGGGUGAAGGAACUAGGCAAAAUGGUGCCGUAACUUCGGGAGAAGGCACGCUGGUGUGUAGGUGAAGUCCCUGCGGAUGGAGCUGAGACCAGUCGAAGAUACCAGCUGGCUGCAACUGUUUAUUAAAAACACAGCACUGUGCAAACACGAAAGUGGACGUAUACGGUGUGACGCCUGCCCGGUGCCGGAAGGUUAAUUGAUGGGGUUAUCCGUAAGGAGAAGCUCUUGAUCGAAGCCCCGGUAAACGGCGGCCGUAACUAUAACGGUCCUAAGGUAGCGAAAUUCCUUGUCGGGUAAGUUCCGACCUGCACGAAUGGCGUAAUGAUGGCCAGGCUGUCUCCACCCGAGACUCAGUGAAAUUGAACUCGCUGUGAAGAUGCAGUGUACCCGCGGCAAGACGGAAAGACCCCGUGAACCUUUACUAUAGCUUGACACUGAACAUUGAGCCUUGAUGUGUAGGAUAGGUGGGAGGCUUUGAAGCGUGGACGCCAGUCUGCGUGGAGCCAACCUUGAAAUACCACCCUUUAAUGUUUGAUGUUCUAACGUUGGCCCCUUACCGGGGUUGCGGACAGUGUCUGGUGGGUAGUUUGACUGGGGCGGUCUCCUCCCAAAGCGUAACGGAGGAGCACGAAGGUUAGCUAAUCCUGGUCGGACAUCAGGAGGUUAGUGCAAUGGCAUAAGCUAGCUUGACUGCGAGCGUGACGGCGCGAGCAGGUGCGAAAGCAGGUCAUAGUGAUCCGGUGGUUCUGAAUGGAAGGGCCAUCGCUCAACGGAUAAAAGGUACUCCGGGGAUAACAGGCUGAUACCGCCCAAGAGUUCAUAUCGACGGCGGUGUUUGGCACCUCGAUGUCGGCUCAUCACAUCCUGGGGCUGAAGUAGGUCCCAAGGGUAUGGCUGUUCGCCAUUUAAAGUGGUACGCGAGCUGGGUUUAGAACGUCGUGAGACAGUUCGGUCCCUAUCUGCCGUGGGCGCUGGAGAAUUGAGGGGGGCUGCUCCUAGUACGAGAGGACCGGAGUGGACGCAUCACUGGUGUUCGGGUUGUCAUGCCAAUGGCACUGCCCGGUAGCUAAAUGCGGAAGAGAUAAGUGCUGAAAGCAUCUAAGCACGAAACUUGCCCCGAGAUGAGUUCU
rnacentral:rRNA from 1 species